AUGACUCUCGGCAACGGAUAUCUCGGCUCUUACAUCGAUGAAGAACGUAGCAAAAUGCGAUACUUGGUGUGAAUUGCAGAAUCCCGUGAACCAUCGAGUCUUUGAACGCAAGUUGCGCCCGAAUCCUUUCGGUCGAGGGCACGUCUGCCUGGGUGUCACG
rnacentral:rRNA from 1 species